CGGGUAGCCCUGACGCUACGGGGAUGGGCGAUUUCGGGAAGGUCCGGGCUGGGGUUUCCCGGUGGCGGAGGAGCCGUUCGGGAGAGUGUCCCCGACACCGGGGGGACGGGCGGAGGUCGGGCGGGGAUUUCCCGGUGGCGGAGGCGGCCUCCGCCGUUCCGCCGUUUCUUCCUCCGACUCCAGCGCGUCGAAGACGGCGGCUCCCACCAGCAGGGCACCAUUCCCUGCUCCAUCCCAGGCACCUGCAGCGCAAAGUCGUGGGAGAUCUUUGGGAGAAAGGCCCCA
rnacentral:lncRNA from 1 species